UCCUUGGUGGCUCAGACAGUAAAGUGUCUGCCUGUAAUGCAGGAGCCCUGGGUUCGACCUCCAGGUAGGGAA
rnacentral:tRNA from 1 species